ensembl:lncRNA
AUGAUAAAGGAUGGAGCAAUACGUUGGUUUACCAUGCUGAGGUACUCUCUCUCUGAUCUCUUGUCCCUGGGACACCAUAGCCGUCCAGAUAUCAGCGUCAUACAAACUUUGCGUUCCAUGCAGCUCCUCCGCCGGCCUAGUUAUAAUGAUAGAUGCUCUCGUCUGAGUCGCUCUACUGCCGGUGCUGGAGUCACUGCACUUUGGUCGAACCGCAGGCGCUCGCUGCGUCGUACUUCUGGUUGCCGUGGAAUCGGCCAUGGUAACCUACGCUAUCCUGAGGUUCUCUCUCAAAAACCCGCGGCGAAUGUGUGCUGUAGCACUAUGCGACUUGCUCACUUCAACACGAGGUCAAUAAACAAUAAAACGGCACUUAUCACUGACACUAUCCUUGACAGGAAAAUUGACAUUCUCUGUCUCAGUGAAACUUGGCAUAAAGACAAUGACUAUCUUAAUUUGAACAUGUGUGCCCCAUCUGGAUAUAAAUAUAUUGACGUGCCUCGAGCUUCUGGUAAGGGUGGUGGCUUGGCUGCAGUAUUUGCAUCAAAUAUAUCACUUGAUGUUAUUGAUGCUCCUACUGUUUCAUCAUUUGAAUGUUUGGUUUUUAAAGUCAAUGGUGCUUCACCUGUUCUUGUGCUGCUCAUUUAUCGUCCACCAAAACCUAAUCCUUUAUUUUUUUCUGAGUUUACUGAGUUGCUGACACUUCUUAGUCCACUCUGUCCGUCUAUGGUCUUGACUGGUGAUGUCAAUUUCCAUAUUGAUAAUCCAAACUGUGUCAAAACUGCUACCUUUUUGGACAUUUUGGAUGGUUUUGACUUUAAACAGCAUGUUACUUUUCCGACACAUAGGCUGGGCCAUAUAUUGGAUGUGGUAUGUUCUGCUGGUGUUGGUAUCCAAUCUCUGGAUAGUAUCGACAUGAGUAUAAGUGACCAUAGACUUAUUACUUUUGACAUAAAUGUUAUGUCUUCACGAUCCAUUUCUGAGCGCACUAUCAAAUUUCGUAACAUCAAGCACAUGGACUUCACUCUUUUUUCGACUUUUGUCUCUGGGCUUCCCACUACUAACUCCGUGGAGCACUAUAAUUCCAUGCUUUCCUCACUUUUGGAUGAGUUCGCACCUGUGCGAGAACGGCUUGUUACUUUUAGGAAACCCUGUCCAUGGUUUACCCCGGAUUUACGUUUAAUGAAAGCCGCCGGAAGACAAUUAGAACGGCAGUACAAAAAAUCUGGCCUGACAGUGCACAGGCUUCUUUACACUGAACAACAGUCUGCUUACCAUUCUGCUUUGAAUACUGCACGUAAGAGCUACUAUUCAAGCAUCAUUGGUAACGCUGCAACAAAUUCUAAAUCGCUGUUUAAGACUGUUGACAAUCUUCUCAAACCAACUAAGGCCGUUGUUCAUUCCUCUGUUGACCAGUGUAAUAAGUUUCUUCAUUAUUUCACCGGUAAGGUUGAGGGUAUAUAUAGCACUUUAAAUACCAUCGCUCCUCUUGAGCUAGUUAAUAUCCAGCCUUCAAACUUCCCAACUACUACCUUUUCAAACUUUGAAAUGGUCGGAGAUGAUUUUAUUAUAAGUACAGUGAAGUCCAUGAACUCUACAACCAGUAUUUUAGAUCCGGUUCCCUGCUCGGUCAUUAUGAACUGCCUCUGGUUGUGA